UCCAAAGCUGGUCAGUUGAAAGGCACGUUUAGAGCUCAGGAGAUGAAGUCUUGGGUUACCCAGCCCUGGCAAAAGUAUCUUGCAGCCUAGGGGGCUGGGAGGAUGCCUGGAUGUCCCACCUGUUUAGGCCACAGGGAUUCCAAAGAAAUCCAGCAAGGCUUGUGCAGGUGGCAAAAGGCAAAAACACAGGUAGAAGAAAAUAGGGAGGGGAAGAAUAUGCCCACCAGGAAGAAGUUCCUGACACCCCAUAAGUGGGAUGGCACCUCUCCUCUGCAGGCCCAGAGGUGUCCUGCACUUGUCUCCACUGCACCAGGAUCGGGCUAUUGUAAUAGGCUGCUUACUUACUUUCUUUACCACUAUAUUCCUCAUCAAGGGUACACAGCUGCUGUUGCACCAUCUGCCUCAGAUAUAGCUAGUGUCGAAAGUAUCCUUGCCCUUACUUCCUGGAAGAAAACUCUGGGACUACAGGAGCCAGCUGACUUCCAUGCCCCACAGUGCCUCAUGCUUGCAAAAAGGCUGCUGUGGAUCCAGAUACCAUAUUUAUAUAAAAGCCCAUUUUGUACUCCUUUUUUCUGCACUGGAGAAGCAGCUACUGGAAGCAGGGUUAGAACAAGCUUGACCACAGGAUUGCAAAGAAUCACUGAAGUGGUGUUUGCAUUAGUCCCAAGUGCUGGCCACCUCAUCUCAACUCUCCCUAGAGGAAGAGACCCUGUAAGUCCCAAGGACACAUCCGGAAGAGUAUUGUGGAGAGUGAGCCAGGUGGGUUCCUGCUGUUCCUUCCUGGAGAAGGGAAGCAAAGGGGCAGAUCUAUGAAGCACAGAAGAUUUGGGACAGAAUCACAGAGCCCAGAAAGCACAGCCACAAGCUGAGAAUCCUCUCUUUGGUAUUGGAAGACAGGUGUCACAAAAAUAGCGGCAUAGGGAGCUCCAAGUAUCUAUCCCUCCACUGAAGAAAACGUUAAGCUGGCAAAAACAUUCAGAAUCAGGAAUGUAAUAAAAAGAAGACUCGCAACAACCAGGGGAAUGAAUGAAGCAGCAGCUGCUAAAUUUUAGUAAGAGCAUGUGGCAUUUUUCUUAUCCACCCACCAUCCCCCAAACCCUAACUUGGCCAGCAGCCAUGGCGAUGGACUCAUAUCCCUGGUGGGACAGCUUGCUAAUG